UCCAACUCCAUGGACAUGAUAUCUGAGUUGCCGAAACACAUCUUGCAUAGAAUACUUUAUUUCCUCUCCCAAAACGAAGCUGUUCGAACAUCUGUCUUGUCGAAAUCAUGGCGUACUAUUUGGCGCACUCGCCCCAAUCUUGAUCUUGAUUUUUCAGACCCCACAUUUAGACACAGUACACGAGAAUUUCUAUUCGUUGUCGACAAUACUUUACAGCUGUACCGCGAUCGGACGCUGCGGUUAGAGGAGUUUCGUCUCUCUAUAUGUACGGACCAUUAUGAAUCUGUUUCACUUCUCCAAAAAUGGAUCCCAUUGCUCACAUCUAUGGGCGUAAAGGAGUUUCGUCUCUCUAUUAGUUCCAAAACGUCCGAUCCGGGGCGUCUGGAUUUGCCAUCUGUAGUUUUCGAAGCCGUCGAAUCACUCAAACAUUUGCGCGUGGAAAGAUUUUUAUUCGACGAAAAGGCUAUUGAAAAGAUAACACUCUGCAAGAAUCUAAGAUCACUUCAUCUCGUAGAUGUCGCGGUCGACGAUAGUAUUUUUCAGCAGAUGAUCGCAAGGUGCCCUUUGAUUGAAAACCUAUGCGUCGAAGGAUUAGGUAUAGGGUUAAGAACAAUCAACACGAAUGAUCUUCGCAAUCUCGAGGAAUUUACUUUUACGGAAAGAUUAGGAUUAUGCUGCAGACACUUUCCGGUGGAACUUUGUAGCAUCGAAAUCUACCCCGUAUCUCUUCGAACCAUCAACAUUAAUUACGGAAAUAUUAUGUUCCGCAAAGAAGCCAACUUUCUUAAUCUCAAUGAUUUAUUUCUGCAAGGCGUGAAAUCGUCGUUGGACAACUUGUCGUUUGGUAAAUUCCCGAGGCUCAGACGCUUGACCCUUUUGCAUUGUGAUGGAUUGAAAGAAUCCCGGGUAUUUAUCGACGCCCCGAACAUACUCUAUUUCGAAUACAAAGGAGACUUUGUUCCGACGGUUUCGUUUGCAACGAAUUCCUUCCGGGAUUGGAAGUCGGAGAUACACAUACAGCAUAUAAACGACGGUUCUCCCUCGUGGUUCCUCAAGCUAAAUAAACUGCUCAAGUCGUUAAGCCAAUCGAAAAUUUCUCUGAGUAUAUAUAAGCAUCCCAAUGAUGAAAAGGACAUAAUUCAAGAAAACAUUGAUCCGGUACACGACAAACCCGUUUUGGUGGAGAGCUUGAACUUGGCUUGUGGUUUAUCGUCCUUUCCGGCGCUUGUAAACGGUGUAUUUAGUAUUUGUCGUUCGAGAAACAUUGGUAACUACCUCAAGGCAUGGCAUGACGAAUUCGUCGAGUCGGAGUAUUCAUGGAGGGGAUGGGAGGUAGAAUUCGUCGGGUAUAUGUGGAAGAUUCUGAUGGAGAGAGAAAGUGGAAGCAAAGACGAGCCCUCACGGUUGUUGCUUCGAGAUUUAGAAGAAGCGAGCAUGGAAAUUAUGAAAAGUAUUCACGGAGAUGAAAAAGAAGACGAAUGGUAUCGAGCACCUCUGUCGGAGUGUCUUCUAAACCUUAGCAGAAGUUAUUGUCGCUUCGCACUGAAAUGGAGAGAUACUAUGUGAAUGGAUUGUCCGUUUGAAUCGACGAAAAACCGCUGCCUUGUAUGAAGCCUGAAGAGAGUGGAAACCAAAAUCAAUUCAGAAAGUUCUUUGAAGGAGAUUUGGAGGAACUAAGCUUGAAGAUAUACGACAACAAUCGAGAAGAAUGGCACUCUAACAAGUUUGUCAGAAUUGCUAAACUAUCAAUAAAGGGAAUAUCAAUAAAGGGAAUGUAUUCUUACACGUUUUCUUGGUACUUACUAUACUAGGAAGAUUCACGUGCGUUGCACGUGUCUAGUUAUAUAUUUUGUUUUUUU